AAAUUGAAGAGUUUGAUCAUGGCUCAGAUUGAACGCUGGCGGCAGGCCUAACACAUGCAAGUCGAACGGUAACAGGAAACAGCUUGCUGUUUCGCUGACGAGUGGCGGACGGGUGAGUAAUGUCUGGGAAACUGCCUGAUGGAGGGGGAUAACUACUGGAAACGGUAGCUAAUACCGCAUAACGUCGCAAGACCAAAGAGGGGGACCUUCAGGCCUCUUGCCAUCGGAUGUGCCCAGAUGGGAUUAGCUAGUAGGUGGGGUAACGGCUCACC
rnacentral:rRNA from 1 species